CUAGCGGUUAGCGGUACCGAGUUGGGCCGGUCGGCCUGUCGAGUUUCCCGGGCUGAUUUUUAGUCCCAGUCCACCCCUGGAUGAUGUACAUAUGGAUGUUUUCUU